rnacentral:rRNA from 1 species
AGUGAACGCUGGCGGUAGGCCUAACACAUGCAAGUCGAACGGCAGCACAGUAAGAGCUUGCUCUUACGGGUGGCGAGUGGCGGACGGGUGAGGAAUACAUCGGAAUCUACUUUUUCGUGGGGGAUAACGUCGGGAAACUUACGCUAAUACCGCAUACGACCUACGGGUGAAAGCAGGGGAUCUUCGGACCUUGCGCGAUUGAAUGAGCCGAUGUCGGAUUAGCUAGUUGGCGGGGUAAAGGCCCACCAAGGCGACGAUCCGUAGCUGGUCUGAGAGGAUGAUCAGCCACACUGGAACUGAGACACGGUCCAGACUCCUACGGGAGGCAGCAGUGGGGAAUAUUGGACAAUGGGCGCAAGCCUGAUCCAGCCAUACCGCGUGUGUGAAGAAGGCCUUCGGGUUGUAAAGCCCUUUUGUUGGGAAAGAAAAGCAGCAUGUUAAUACCCCGCUGUUCUGACGGUACCCAAAGAAUAAGCACCGGCUAACUUCGUG